GGAGGAGAAUAGGAGGGGGUCCUUCAUUCCAGCGUCACGCCACUCCUGGAAUUUUUCCAAACUGGUGCUGGCAUGUGUGCACAUCCAGGAUCGCAAGGGGGAGAGUCGUCGAUUCAGCUGAAGGUGAAGGGACAACAUAGUAGAACACCAUACCUUGGAGGCAAAUUCAGGAUCUCUCAGUUGAUAAAGUAGAUUCAUUGCCUUGCAAUCACUAUGUCCACAAACAAUUAUGUGCCGGAUGUCAUUCACCACACAUCCUAGCUCCAGAGCAGCGGGCUCGCAGCUGAAAUACUCAUCCUGAAAGUGGUGGGCGUGGGGUAUUAGGUUUCCAGCAUUUCGCACUAAUCGGUGGGAAUUUGGAGGUGUGUUAAUCUAUAUAUAACAACUAUGACUUCAUAGACUUACCCACAAACAUGUCACCCACAUGGGUAUCCGUGUAGCGGGUGGGAAUCAUUCUACUGUCCAUGCAGGUGAAGAAAACGGCCUUGGGCUGAAAGAUAAAGCGUAUCAAGAGUUAGUACAGAUAUCGGCUAGUGCGUAAAUAUAUUUAAAAGAUAGAUACAGCAAGUUAUGACAUACUUGGCUUUUGGCCAAAGUGUCAAUGGGUUCAGUUCAAGGCUUCUAACGGGAAAAACUAAACAAUAUUGAGGGUAUUGAUGGAGAAACAUAAAUUAUGCUAUACAGUUGUGGGCAAAAUAAUAGAUAAUAGUAAAAUUGUUAUAAAGAUUAUGUUAAAAUAACAUUAUUUUAAAAUAUGUAUUUAAUUCAUGUGUUAGAUCGAAAUAUAAUUUUAUGCAAUAUACAUUUUAGUUAAAUAUUGAAACAAAAUCUUAUAAAAUUAAAGGUAAAGCAAUAUUUUAAUAUUCUAAGUAAAGCUGAAUGCAAAAAUUAAGCAUUUUUUUUAUAAAUAUCAAUACUAAACAUGAUAAUUUG